rnacentral:rRNA from 1 species
AUUGAACGCUGGCGGCAGGCCUAACACAUGCAAGUCGAGCGGUAGAGAGAAGCUUGCUUCUCUUGAGAGCGGCGGACGGGUGAGUAAUGCCUAGGAAUCUGCCUAGUGGUGGGGGAUAACGUUCGGAAACGGACGCUAAUACCGCAUACGUCCUACGGGAGAAAGCGGGGGACCUUCGGGCCUCGCGCCAUUAGAUGAGCCUAGGUCGGAUUAGCUAGUUGGUGAGGUAAUGGCUCACCAAGGCGACGAUCCGUAACUGGUCUGAGAGGAUGAUCAGUCACACUGGAACUGAGACACGGUCCAGACUCCUACGGGAGGCAGCAGUGGGGAAUAUUGGACAAUGGGCGAAAGCCUGAUCCAGCCAUGCCGCGUGUGUGAAGAAGGUCUUCGGAUUGUAAAGCACUUUAAGUUGGGAGGAAGGGUAGGUAACCUAAUACGUUGCUACUUUGACGUUACCGACAGAAUAAGCACCGGCUAACUUCGUGCCA